CCGAUGCUGCUCUUCCUUCACCGGCCGAUAUCUCUCUCAUCCAACCUCGAAUCGAGUUGAUUCCAAAAGGGAUUUUGCUGGGCCUGAGCUAUAUUACAACUUUGUAGAAGACAUCGAGGGGAAAUAACCAACGUGGUAGCCGCUACAAGUGGAAGAACACGGUGCAGUCGAGCUGGAAAUCACCUCCUUUCCCCACCGUCGUUCUCCCUCCUCCGGCCACCUUUUGCCGUGAUUCUUGAGAGGAUUCUGCACUUCUGAGGAUGUAGAUCAUUUCCCCUAAGGUGGAUUGCAUCGAUUUCAUCUGUGGAGAUCGAAUUGGAACGAAUUCAAAACUAGGGUUCUUCGGGUUUCAAACCUUAUAAGGUGAUUGACGGUUUGAGUUAGUGGACGAUUGUGGAUCGUAUUUUGAGCGGAAUUGAAGACGCAGCGGGAUUAUCGAGCGGGUAAUCCUACAGGACAGGAGAACCAGGACGGUGAUCUUGCGGUUAGAGCAAUUGUUAGAGUUUUACAGCAAUUGUACGUUGUGAGGUGUGUUAUGCUCAUUUGAGCUUUACAAUAUUGCUUGUGAGAGUGAAUUGUAAUAAUGAACUCGAAGUUUCGAGAUUUGGAUUUUGUAAUUGUAAUUAUUCAUGUUUCGGAUUUGAAUUUAUUAUUCAAAAUUCGGGGCGUGACAAGGUAUUAGAAUUGGC